GUGCUCACUUUGGCAGCACAUAUACUAAAAAUUGAAACGAUACAGAGAAGUCCAGCAUGGCCCCUGUGCAAGGAUGACAUGCAAAUUCAGGAGGCGUUCCAUAUUUUU
ensembl:snRNA U6 U6 spliceosomal RNA